rnacentral:rRNA from 1 species
UACGUAGGGGGGCAAGCGUUGUCCGGAUUUAUUGGGCGUAAAGAGCGUGUAGGCGGCCAGAUAGGUCCGUUGUGAAAACUCGAGGCUCAACCUCGAGACGCCGAUGGAAACCAUCUGGCUAGAGUCCGGAAGAGGAGAGUGGAAUUCCUGGUGUAGCGGUGAAAUGCGCAGAUAUCAGGAAGAACACCCGUGGCUAAGGCGGCUCUCUAGUACGGUACUGACGCUGAGACGCGAAAGCGUGGGGAGCGAACAGG